rnacentral:rRNA from 1 species
UUGGAGGGCAAGUCUGGUGCCAGCAGCCGCGGUAAUUCCAGCUCCAAUAGCGUAUAUUAAAGUUGUUGCAGUUAAAAAGCUCGUAGUUGAAUUUCGGGAUUCUACCGUUGGUCGGGCUAACAAGUCUGUACUGGUGUGUAGAAUUUCUACCUUCUGGGGAACUAUCAUGUUAUUAAUUUAGCGUGGUGGGAAACCAGGACCUUUACCUUGAAAAAAUUAGAGUGUUCAAAGCAGGCUUACGUCUGAAUACAUUAGCAUGGAAUAAUAGAAUAGGACGGUGGUCCUGUUUUGUUGGUUUCUGAAUCACCGUAAUGAUUAAUAGGGAUAGUUGGGGGCAUUAGUAUUCAAUUGUCAGAGGUGAAAUUCUUGGAUUUAUUGAAGACUAACUUCUGCGAAAGCAUUUGCCAAGGAUGUUUUCAUUAAUCAAGAACGAAAGUUAGGGGAUCGAAGACGAUCAGAUACCGCCGUAGUCUUAACCAUAAACUAUGCCGACUAGGGAUCGGACGAUGUUAAAUUUUAUUGACUCGUUCGGCGCCUUACGGGAAAC